rnacentral:rRNA from 1 species
GCAGGCUACCAUGCAGUCGAGCGGAUGACGGGAGCUUGCUCCUUGAUUCAGCGGCGGACGGGUGAGUAAUGCCUAGGAAUCUGCCUGGUAGUGGGGGACAACGUUUCGAAAGGAACGCUAAUACCGCAUACGUCCUACGGGAGAAAGCAGGGGACCUUCGGGCCUUGCGCUAUCAGAUGAGCCUAGGUCGGAUUAGCUAGUUGGUGAGGUAAUGGCUCACCAAGGCGACGAUCCGUAACUGGUCUGAGAGGAUGAUCAGUCACACUGGAACUGAGACACGGUCCAGACUCCUACGGGAGGCAGCAGUGGGGAAUAUUGGACAAUGGGCGAAAGCCUGAUCCAGCCAUGCCGCGUGUGUGAAGAAGGUCUUCGGAUUGUAAAGCACUUUAAGUUGGGAGGAAGGGCAGUAAGCUAAUACCUUGCUGUUUUGACGUUACCGACAGAAUAAGCACCGGCUAACUCUGUGCCAGCAGCCGCGGUAAUACAGAGGGUGCAAGCGCUAAUCGGAAUUACUGGGCGUAAAGCGCGCGUAGGUGGUUUGUUAAGUUGGAUGUGAAAGCCCCGGGCUCAACCUGAGGAACUGCAUCCAAAACUGGCAAGCUAGAGUACUGUAGAAGGUGGUGGAAUUUCCUGUGUAGCGGUGAAAUGCGUAGAUAUAGGAAGGAACACCAGUGGCGAAAGCGACCACCUGGACUGAUACUGACACUGAAGUGCGAAAGCGUGGGGAGCAAACAGGAUUAGAUACCCUGGUAGUCCACUGCCGUAAACGAUGUCAACUAGCCGGUUGGAAUCCUUGAGAUUUUAGUGGCGCAGCUAACGCAUUAGAUGACCGCCUGGGGAGUACGGCGCAAGGUUAAAACUCAAGGGAAUUGACG